rnacentral:rRNA from 1 species
UACGUAGGUGACAAGCGUUGUCCGGAUUUACUGGGCGUAAAGAGCGCGCAGGCGGUCGUUCAAGUCGAGUGUGAAAGCCCCCGGCUCAACUGGGGAGGGUCACUCGAUACUGAUCGACUCGAAGGCAGGAGAGGGUAGUGGAAUUCCCGGUGUAGUGGUGAAAUGCGUAGAUAUCGGGAGGAACACCAGUGGCGAAGGCGACUACCCGGCCUGUUCUUGACGCUGAGGCGCGAAAGCUAGGGGAGCAAACGGG